AUGUGUGAGAACUCGACGCCUUCGAGUGACUUGUUGCGAGCGGCAACGGGCCCCGGGCCCCCAUGUCGUCGCCUCGUUCUCGGGGUCCUCGGCCGCGCUCGCCAGGACGGGCUCGCAGAGGAGGUCUUCCUCCAGUUCGCUAGGGAGGGCACCACCGUGCAGGUGUUUAACGCCAUGAUGGACAUGUACGGCCGCUCCGCCCGCUUCGACGAUGUUUAG
rnacentral:rRNA from 1 species